AUUGAACGCUGGCUGCAGGCCUAACACCUGCAAGUCGAACGAGUGGCGGACGGGUGAGUAAUGUCUGGGAAACUGCCCGAUGGUGGGGGAUAACUACUGGAAACGGUAGCUAAUACCGCAUACCAUCGGAUGUGCCCAGAUGGGAUUCGCUAGUCGGUGGGGUAACGGCUCACCUAGGCGACGAUCCCUAGCUGGUCUGAGAGGAUGACCAGCGACACUGGAACUGAGACACGGUCCAGCCUCCUACGGGAGGCAGCAGUGGGGAAUAUUGCACAAUGGGCGCAAGCCUGAUGCAGCCAUGCCGCGUGUAUGAAGAAGGCCUUAGGGUUGUAAAGUACUUUCAGCGAGGAGGCGUUACGCGCAGAAGAAGCACCGGCGAACUCCGUGCCAGCAGCCGCGGUAAUUC
rnacentral:rRNA from 1 species